GAUGAACGCUGGCGGCGUGCUUAACACAUGCAAGUCGAACGGACUGAGGGAGCUUGCUCCCAAAGUUAGUGGCGGACGGGUGAGUAACGCGUGGGUAACCUGCCCUAUGCAGGGGGAUAACGUUUGGAAACGAACGCUAAUACCGCAUAACCUAGUUGGUUCGCAUGAACUGAUUAGCAAAGAUUUAUCGGCAUAGGAUGGACCCGCGUUGGAUUAGCUAGUUGGUGAGAUAAAAGCUCACCAAGGCGACGAUCCAUAGCCGGCCUGAGAGGGUGAACGGCCACACUGGGACUGAGACACGGCCCAGACUCCUACGGGAGGCAGCAGUGGGGAAUAUUGCACAAUGGGCGCAAGCCUGAUGCAGCGACGCCGCGUGAAGGAUGAAGGUUUUCGGAUCGUAAACUUCUAUCAGCAGGGAAGAAACCAAUGACGGUACCUGACUAAGAAGCCCCGGCUAACUACGUGCCAGCAGCCGCGGUAAUACGUAGGGGGCAAGCGUUAUCCGGAUUUACUGGGUGUAAAGGGUGCGUAGGUGGCAUGGCAAGUCANAUGUGAAAACUCGGGGCUCAACUUCGAGA
rnacentral:rRNA from 1 species